rnacentral:lncRNA from 1 species
AGCCCUAAAAUCCCUUUCUCCUUGCACGUUCGUUUUCAUUCCUUUCUCCCUUGCAUUGGUUCGUCUAUUCUUUUCUCUUUUCAUUGAUAUUUCUUAUCGAUUAGCCAUGGUUCAUUUUCUUUCAGAAUCCAUGGUUCAUUUUCUUUCAGAAUUGUAGGUAGACGGAGUUGUAGCGGUGGUUGCGUGGAUCGGCCGACCGUGAAGCUUUCACUCGUGCUACAACCUGAGGUACAUCGUUCUAACACCCUUCUUGCUUCUUUUUGGUGUAUCGCCUGCCUUUUCUGUUCCGCCGUAAGGAAACUGGGUUACUGCGCCACAAGAAGUUUCUGGAUUUNACUUAAGCCUUUUUCACUACCAAACUUGACAACAACUCCAUUUUCAUCCUCCAAUCCAAGAAAUUCAAGGUAAAAACGAGAUUACUACAGCAAAAUGAUGAUAAAACCGAAUGGACAAUGGGUCUCCCUUCCACCAAAGAAACCACCAUGAAAAAGUAAAGAAGAAGCUUCAAACUCAAGCAUUCAACCUUCAAAACGAAAAUCUAAAGAGAGAAAUGGUACAGCUUCAUUCCAUCAAGCAAGAACAAACAUUGUUCAAACAAUAGAAGAAGAAAAACGUGAUCUUGGUCCAUUCAAGCUCAAAAACGAAAAAUGGCACUCCAAAGCUCCAAAGAGAGAGUUCAUACAUGCAAAGCCAAAGCAAAAAUGUAGAAUGAGUGUGUUGUGUGUGGUCUCGGCAAUUCCCCUAGGAAAUGUCAUCCCUCUCUCAAAAUAGGUGGGGUCCACCUCCUAAAAACCUAGGGUUUUGGUGCCAAGUGUCCCACACAUUGGGCUUCUACAAAAUUUGCCACAAAAGGGCCCAAAUGCACUAAAUCUAAUUAAGGUUUCUAAAAAAAAUGAAAUUACAACUUAAUAAAAAUGGAAAUGACUAAACGUUGAGUCUUGAAUGAUCAUGCCACCAUCCCUAAUGCUCCAAAUGAUGUUUCCCAAAAUUUCCCUNCAACCAAAAUACACUUAAUCAGCUCAGAAAACCCAAAUUAGCACAAUUACGAAUUUCCGACCAAAUUAAGCAAAAUUCGGAAAAGGGGGAAAUAACAGACAAUUAAGCACAAUUCCCUGGUUUAUUUAAGUGCAAUAAACUAUAUAUAGUUCAAGAAAUAACCACUCAUCAAAAUAGACCACACUUAGUCUUUUGCACUCCUGGGUAAAACCAAGACGAAAACCGGGGAACUACUCAAACAUCAGGGAGGUGACACAGACUCGACAGAUAUACAACAAAGACUCACAAGACAGAAACAGAGCUGCACAAUUCUCACAAAAUCUGGAUAGUGAAAGGAAAUGGACAGUAUCCAACACAAAAGAAAUGAAAGCAGAUACUCACAGAAUCAUCCAAACAAUUCAGUCCAUGGAAAACAGUCAAUCUGUUCAAGAGAUGAAUCAAGAGCAACAGAGCCUCACAGAUGCAUUAUCAGUAUUUCUCUCAAGUGUCUAAGGGUAAAGAAAUUCAACUCAAUGCACUCAAGAAAACAAGCACAAACAGACUUGGCAAGCCUCUAAUAUGAACACUCAAACACAUAUGCAUGUUCAAAUCAAAAGGUCUUUUCAUGGUUGUAAUGGGGCCAAGGACAAGGGAGGAUACAUCUGGAUAAAAAGCUACAAACCAAAAGGAAUAGAGGAGCAAUGGGGAACAAGUGUAAACACCUUCAAACACACCCACAACCUCUAAUUCCAUCAUCUUCUUGACUCCAUUAUUCAUAAAAAUUUUUUCUGUAUUUUUCCUUUUUUUUUUUUUUAUUUUGUCUCUUUUCUUUUUCUAUUCAACAUACAAUUCAAAAGACAAGAUACAUAAUAUUUACAAUGCAAUUGCAAGAAGAAGACUCACUAGCCAAUUCAUCUGCAACUCCUAAGAGACCACACUUAUUCCCAAAACAAUUCCAAAGCUCCAAAAUUCCCUAAGGUUCAGGUAAUCAUGGUUUUUCACUUAGGCUAUUGUAUGAGCUUCAAAACAAAGAAAUGGGGGAAGUAUAGGCUCAAGGGGGCUAACAAAGAAAUCAUAACAGGGUAGGCUAUCUGGCUAGAGAGGCUCAAUCAACAAAAUGCCUUUAUCAUUUUCAAACAUGCUCAUGAAUCAAGAAUUANUUGGCAUCACUAUAAAUCGCCUCUUAUGACAUCUUGAGACUAAAUAGUUCAAUGUGAUCUAUCCUUUUACUAAAUAGUUCAAUGUGAUGCCUUGUUCAAAAUCUUUACAACACUUAGAGAACAAUCCACUCCAAUUAGAAUCUGUAAUUUUAAUUAUUUUAAAUAAAGAGCUGAGUCCACUAGUUUUCAUAUCAGAUAAAAAAAUGCGUUUGAACCAAAAGAUCUCAAUUGUAUUAUGUUAUUCACUGAUAGUCAAAAUCCUUUGGCAUAAAAGCAUUAUAUUGUUUGAGAUACGAAUCCACUUGAUUUUUAAGGAUUUCAUUUUUUAACGACUUAUUACCAUCAGUGUGAACAAGCAAUGCUCGAGAUUGUGGUCUUACUAAUUAGAUGUGAUCAAUCCUUUUACUAACGAGUCACAUGUGAUACCUAAUACAAUAUCACUUAUAGGGUUCGAGAUGAAUAUGCCCAAAAAUCUAUAUAAUCUUAGUUGCUUUAAAUAAUGAAUCAAAAGAUCUCGAUUGUAUUAUUAUAAUAACUGAUAAACAGUUCAGCAUCCAAGUGCUGUGUUGUUUCAGAAAUGAAUUAAUUAUUAUAAUGAAAUUAAUGUAAGUACAUGUAUUUCCCAAUUUUAGUACUUUGUAAUGGUCACUGUUUUAGUGUUGCAGUUCUUCAAUAAUUAUACAAAAUUUGUAAUAUUGUUGUUCUAGUGAUGCAUUUAUGACAUAAAUUUAAAGUUUGACGGUGUAGAAUAUUUUGGCAGCAUCAUCUUUACAUAAAGUGCUCUAUUNUGAUAAUUUGGUUAUAAUUGUGAUUCCUUUGUACUCAAGUAAUGCUUUCUAGUAUUAACACUGCAGACUUUGUUUUGAUAAUCCGAAAGAAAAAAUAAAUCUGACAGGAAUAUUAUUUGCAGAUCAAUUAUAUUUUAUCAUUUGAAGAGGUCACUUUGAAGUUCAUUACUGCUGGUGAACAGGUAUUUUCAUGUUGCUGGCCCUUAAAUAUGAAUUAUACUGUGGCUGCAUUCUUUGUCAAUGUGUGUAUUUUUAGAAAAAUUUUACAUUGUAAUUUUUUCUUUCUAUAAGAAAAUACUUUUUGAUUAUUA